GUGUCGUAGCGCGGGACGAUGGCCCAGAUUUAGAGGCUCUCUUCUUUUUUUUACCCUCUUACAACCGCUCUUUUUCUUUCUUCCAAAAUCUUCGGCGGUGAGUAAUAUUUUUAUCGUUCGCUGUUCUCUAUCUCUCUCUUUUUCUCUGUUAAUCUCUCCGGAGUUCACGAAGAUUCCAGCCGUAGAUAAAGCCUUCUAUUAACAUGUCCAAGGCUGAGGAUAGGGGUCUUUCUUCAUCACAAGAGAGUAAUCAGUUGGGAAGUCAUUCAUUAUCUGGACAAAA